rnacentral:rRNA from 1 species
AUUGAACGCUGGCGGCAUGCCUUACACAUGCAAGUCGAACGGCAGCACGGGUGCUUGCACCUGGUGGCGAGUGGCGAACGGGUGAGUAAUACAUCGGAACAUGCCUGUAGUGGGGGAUAGCCCGGCGAAAGCCGGAUUAAUACCGCAUACGAUCUACGGAUGAAAGCGGGGGACCUUCGGGCCUCGCGCUAUAGGGUUGGCCGAUGGCUGAUUAGCUAGUUGGUGGGGUAAAGGCCUACCAAGGCGACGAUCAGUAGCUGGUCUGAGAGGACGACCAGCCACACUGGGACUGAGACACGGCCCAGACUCCUACGGGAGGCAGCAGUGGGGAAUUUUGGACAAUGGGCGAAAGCCUGAUCCAGCAAUGCCGCGUGUGUGAAGAAGGCCUUCGGGUUGUAAAGCACUUUUGUCCGGAAAGAAAUCCUUGGCCCUAAUACGGUCGGGGGAUGACGGUACCGGAAGAAUAAGCACCGGCUAACUACGUG